AUUCUAAGUUAGUAAACGCGUCGUAGCAGUUGGAAGAAAAAAAAAAACAGCGAUCCGUCCUGCACAACUAUGCCGACUGACUGUAAGUAUUCAUAUGAGUGUAUCAUGAUUAUAUUAUGACUAUGUCUAUGUGAAUCAGCUGUUUAUAUCUGACCGUAGCUGCGAUUACUUCACAGCGAAUUGCGGUGCCGGAGGCGAGAGCGUGAAACAGCAGCAGGGUCCACGUGGAAAUUUGCCUGAUAUUCGGCUCAACAUUCAAAGACCGAUUCUAGCAGACCAGACUAAUGUGCUGACAAGCGGUAGUUUUGUACCUAUCGAGGCCAAUGUCAUUCAGCGAACCCCCGGACCAAAUCGACUGUCCAAGAAGAAUUUGAAAAGAUUGGCGGGGGUAGUGGUGGCUAUACCCU